AGCAGUGUAGUGUAAUGGUAGCGGAACAGGGCUUGUAACCAUGAGGUUGCUGGUUCGAUUCCCUGCUGGGG